rnacentral:rRNA from 1 species
CGCGUAGGUGGCCUGUGGAAGUCUGCGGUGAAAGUCCGGCGCUCAACGCCGGAUCGGCCGUGGAUACUCUCGGGCUUGAGCUUACUAGAGGCAGAUGGAAUUCCGGGUGUAGCGGUGGAAUGCGUAGAGAUCCGGAAGAACACCGGUGGCGAAGGCGGUCUGCUGGGGUAAUGCUGACACUGAUGGCGACAGGCGGUGGGAGCAAACA